CUGUCAUCAGCACAUGAUCACUGUAGGUGUGCCAUAGUAUCAGGAAGAUUUUGGCAACAAAUGUUAGUAUUCACUAUCCCGUGUAACAGGAAGUCCAAAGUUAUGGUAGCUCCAUUUCUUUGGGUCCGUCUUGGUUUUUCCGCCUCCUAAUCCCUUUGUCAAUUUCGUCCCUCGGGCUAGCAUCUCUCAAGGUUGCAAGGAGGAAGAAAGAACUAUCUGAAAAGUACGCUCUAAGUUUUGCAGAUCCUGCCCUAAAGGCAAGAACAUCCGAAGAGCAGGAGACCCAGAUGAAUCCUUCAGGAAAUAUUUAUUCAGCAUCUGUGAGGCACCAGGUUCCAUGUCACACAACUAAGGGAAAGAGUUCAGAGUGUAGGGCUGAUGUUGCUUAAAAAAUAGAGCAAGAGCAUGGACGUGAGUGUCAGGGAUGGGGCUGAGGCAAGAACACCGCAAACAAAUGUCUCGUUGGCGCUCAUCCUCUGGGCUUCAGGACUCUAUAUUACAGAGCACCCAGUUGUCCCAGGUGGCAUUCUGAAUUCUU
rnacentral:lncRNA from 1 species